GGGAUGGACGGACCGCUGGUGUAUCUGUUGGCUGCCAGAGCCAUGGCAGAGUAGCCAAGUCCGGCAGGGAUAAACGCUGAAGGCAUCUAAGCGUGAAGCCCCCCUCAAGAUGAGAUAUCCCAGUAAGUAAGACCCCUUAGAGAGUAUGAGGUAGAUAGGCUUAAGGUGGAAGUGCAGUAAUGCAUGGAGCUGAUAAGUACUAAUCGGUCGAGGGCUUAACCAA
rnacentral:rRNA from 1 species